rnacentral:rRNA from 1 species
UUGAAUCCGCGAGGACCAUCUCGCAAGGCUAAAUACUAACCAGUGACCGAUAGUGAACCAGUACCGUGAGGGAAAGGUGAAAAGAACCCCGGGAGGGGAGUGAAAUAGAACCUGAAACCGUGUGCCUACAAGUAGUCAGAGCCCGUUAACGGGUAAUGGCGUGCCUUUUGUAGAAUGAACCGGCGAGUUGCGUUAGUCAGCAAGGUUAAGUCAGAAAAGACGGAGCCGUAGCGAAAGCGAGUCUGAAGAGGGCGAGCAGUUGGCUGACGCAGACCCGAAACCAAGUGACCUACCCAUGACCAGGUUGAAGGCGCGGUAAAACGCGCUGGAGGACCGAACCCACGUAAGUUGAAAAUUGCGGGGAUGAGUUGUGGGUAGCGGUGAAAUUCCAAACGAACUUGGAGAUAGCUGGUUCUCUCCGAAAUAGCUUUAGGGCUAGCCUCGCAAAGAGGAUGCUGGAGGUAGAGCUCUGUUUGGACUAGGGGCCCGUCAAGGGUUACUGAAUUCAGAUAAACUGCGAAUUCCAGACAUUUAUGUGCGGGAGUCAGACUGCGAGUGAUAAGAUCCGUAGUCGAAAGGGAAACAGCCCAGAUCACCAGUUAAGGUCCCAAAAUUCAUGCUAAGUGGAAAAGGAUGUGGAGUUGCGCAGACAACUAGGACGUUGGCUCAGAAGCAGCCAUCAUUCAAAGAGUGCGUAAUAGCUCACUAGUCGAGUGACGCCGCGCCGAAAAUUUACCGGGGCUAAGCAUGAUACCGAAACUGUGGAUGUGCAUUUAUGCACGUGGUAGGAGAGCGUUCUAGCGGCGGUGAAGCAUGACCGAGAGGACAUGUGGAGCUUCUAGAAGUGAGAAUGCCGGUAUGAGUAACGAAAGACAGGUGAGAAUCCUGUCCGCCGCAAGACUAAGGUUUCCUGGGGCAGGCUCGUCCGCCCAGGGUAAGUCGGGACCUAAGGCGAGGCCGAGAGGCGUAGUCGAUGGACAACAGGUUGAAAUUCCUGUACUGCACCGAAUCGUUAUGAGCGAUGGAGGGACGCAGGAGGCUAGCAGCGCGUGGUGCUGGAUACCACGUUCAAGCGUCAAGUCUGAGAGCGAGUCAAAUGCUUGCUCUCAU